rnacentral:rRNA from 1 species
UACGUAGGGGGCAAGUGUUGUCCGGAUUUACUGGGCGUAAAGAGCGUGUAGGCGGCCAAACAGGUCCGUUGUGAAAACUGGAGGCUUAACCUCCAGACGUCGACGGAAACCGUGUGGCUAGAGUCCGGAAGAGGAGAGUGGAAUUCCUGGUGUAGCGGUGAAAUGCGCAGAUAUCAGGAAGAACACCAAUGGCGAAGGCAGCUCUCUGGGACGGUACUGACGCUGAGACGCGAAAGCGUGGGGAGCGAACAGG